UACAAGAAAAUUGUCACUUUGUGACACUUCAAUUGCGACAUUUAAAAAAUAACCGUCGCAAUGUGCUUUUUUUAUGAAGUUUGCAACGGUUUAUGCGACAAUUUAGACAACCGUCACAGUGUUUUUGUCUAAAACCGGGAAAAAUUUCACUUCAGCGCCCAGUGAAAAUAGAAUCCUUUGCUCCCAAACAAAAUAAUUGAAUCCCAAACAAAAAAAAUUGAACAUCCAGACAAAAGAAGCGAAACACACUUCUAAAAGGCAAAACACUUCUGAAACGUUAAAACCCUUUCAUCACCGCAUCGCCGGUCUAGGUUUCAAAUCCCUAACUCCUGCAACUACAAAUCCCGAACUAGUUUUCAAAUCCCUAACUCCUUCCAAAUCCAAACCCCUAAAUCUUUCAUCAUUCAAUUCUAAUCACUAAUCCUUAAAUAUAUGACAAAGCUUCUCAUUCUUCGACAAGUGACGGACCUUCCCUUUCUUUCUCUCGUUGAGCAGAGUUCGUUGUUUUCAUCUCAGGUUCGUUGGUCUCUCGAUCUUGUUCUCCCUCCGCUGAUCUGUCACUCGUCAUCUUUCUAUGCGCUUCGAGCCUCUCUGGUUGGUAAGAAUCUUAAAAACCCAAUUACUCUUUUUGUCUCCUCUAUUUUCCCCUUAAAUAUAUCUCUAUGCGUUGAAAUAUUAGGUAUUUGGAGGAUUGAGGUUAACGAUAUUAAAGAACUAAAGUCUUUCAAUUUUUUAUUUUGUUGAUGUUUGAUUUUGAUGUUUCUCUAUGUUCUAUUUAUUGAGCUGAAUGAUUUAUGGAAGUAAAGUCUUUCAAUUGCGGCUACCUCUGUUAUUUCUCCAUAACAAAACCCAAAAUUUGUUAGUUUCUCCUUUCUUAUGCACCUUAUGGCUUUAUGUUCUUUUGUUGAUUCACUAUAUUUCACAAUUUUAUUCUUUAAUGUUUGACUCAAAGUGCAUUGUUUUGUUUUGUUUUGUUUUGUUUGUAGAUGAAUUAUUUUGGUUUUGGUUCUGGUUCGGAUAAACUGGUGUGUGCAUUGGUUUGGUCUUUUUCCGCUUGCGGCUGCUGGUUUUUCUGGCCUCUGGUACUGGUUUUCAUGUGCUUUCUUGCUCAGUUCUUGUGUGAUUGGAUUCUGAUUUUAUGUUAUUGGUGAAAGCAUGCUUUGGUUUGGGUUUCCUGGCGUCCAGUCUUUUGGCCCUUAAGUAUGGUUUUUGGUUCUCUUGUUUGUGACUGUGUAUCUGUUUUUGGUUUGGGUAAGGUGAUGGUUUUAGUUCCAGCUUUUAUUUGGUGUUGUUUUGUAGUAAUUUCUGUUUAGUGGUGGGCGUAUAGUUUUCUUGGCAGUAGUGGUAGCGGUGCAUGGCACUGGCAGUGUUUGUGUUUCAAACUGCUAUUGCAAUGCCUUGUACUUCUUUUGUGAUAUCCAGGCUCGCAAACAUUAGUGUUAUGCAUCAGCUGUAACAUUAUUGCCUUCCUUUUAUCCAGGCUCACCUUGAGUUUGUGGUACCAAUUAAGUUUGUGCCUAAAUUUUGUUAAAGUUUUUGUAUUUGGUUUGGUUUUUCUUAGUGACACUAUUAUGGCCAAUGUUGAAAUGAUCUAAGCUUCAAUUUUUUAUGAGUAAUGCUAAGGUCACGCCACUUGACGCCGUCCAUCGUCUUAAUUGCAGUCUUAUUUAGUCGCCGUCUAUGUCACGUGUUCUGGUAAUCGUCGGACCUAUAAUGUGUUCCGGUGGAUGUUGUCGUCUUUCAUCUUUAUUGUGAGCUUCGUCUUCAUCUUUAAAAGAGUGUGUUAGAGGGUGUGACACUAGCACCCCUCAUUUUUUAUUCUUUUUGUCCAGGUAAGAUUACAGUGUUACUAAUAUGCUAUUGUCCAAACUCAUUGAGAAGGGGAUAUGAAUAUGGGUUAUUAUCAGCAGUGUAGCUUGUUAUAUAUGAGCUCUCAUCCAUCUUUCUUCACAAGGUUUUUUUAUUUUUAUUUUGUUCAAGACUUGUUGUAUUAUUUUGUUCAAGAAUUACAGUGAUGCAUUAUUUGCUAUUGUGCGUGUGUUAGAAUUGUAAGUAGUUAGUAAUUAGUUUGUAGUUAGUGAUGUUACCAAUAUUCUUGCUACUGCCUACUAUUCUUUUGUAUGUUUGAACCAGAGCUAAUAAAAUAUGGAGACUAGAUAAUGUCUUGUAACAUUUUAAAAAAUCAUGUGGUUGUGUAGGUACUAAAUUGAUUGACAAUUAACUUCCUAGUAUGAGAUGUGUGUAUGCAGAUUGAUAAACAUGUCAAGAGAAAAUCACAAACAAUAGAUCCUUGAAGCAUCCAAAUAUUGUUAGAUUAAAAAAGGUGGAAGACUUGGAAUUACUAAACUAUGUACGACAUUCUUUUGAUUCUAGUCAUUUACCUCGGGAUGAUCAAGUAAUUUUCUUGUGAUGGACCAUCCAGAUAAUUGAUUUAAUUUUCAUGGAACUCAAGAAACCUUUUUGUAUCAUUUGUAUAUGUUGUAUUUAUAUGAAAUUCAUAUUUUUGUUUAUGGAUUAGUUCAUAUUUUUAGUAAUAGUAUUUAUAUAUUUGUGCAUUUUAA